UUCCCAAAUCUUGCUGUCAAGUAUGCCCUUAAAGCCAUUUGCAUGUAAUUAUGAAUAAUUAGUCGAAAUAACAUAUGGAUAUUUCAUAUGCAUGAACACUAAACACUAAUUGGGAUGAGUCACAUUAACCUUAGAGCAAGAAAAGAGUCUACAAGUGCUCCAAAGGAACAAUCCAAGCAGUCGAAUAAAUUUGGAGAUUAAUAAAUUUGGAGCCAAACCC
rnacentral:lncRNA from 1 species